AUUUACCAAGUUCUAGCCAAGCCUUCCGUGUACUUCAUCAAGUUUGAUGGUGACAUCCACAUCUACAUCUAUAAUCUGGUGGAAAAGAUCCGUUAAGGUGAAAUUCACAAAGUGCGGGGGACAUGGAUGGGUAAUUUAUAGGAUUGGGAGGAAAAUGUUUGUUUUUCUGUGUGUCAGAUACCCAAGGGUCUUUGACAACCCCAGUAUCUUUUCCAGUGGAAUUUGUUUUUGCUCUAAAAAUUAAAAUGUGCGAUAUGA
rnacentral:lncRNA from 1 species